GGGUUGUGAGGUUAAGCGACUAAGCGUACACGGUGGAUGCCCUGGCAGUCAGAGGCGAUGAAGGACGUGCUAAUCUGCGAUAAGCGUCGGUAAGGUGAUAUGAACCGUUAUAACCGGCGAUUUCCGAAUGGGGAAACCCAGUGUGUUUCGACACACUAUCAUUAACUGAAUCCAUAGGUUAAUGAGGCGAACCGGGGGAACUGAAACAUCUAAGUACCCCGAGGAAAAGAAAUCAACCGAGAUUCCCCCAGUAGCGGCGAGCGAACGGGGAGCAGCCCAGAGCCUGAAUCAGUGUGUGUGUUAGUGGAAGCGUCUGGAAAGGCGCGCGAUACAGGGUGACAGCCCCGUACACAAAAAUGCACAUGCUGUGAGCUCGAUGAGUAGGGCGGGACACGUGGUAUCCUGUCUGAAUAUGGGGGGACCAUCCUCCAAGGCUAAAUACUCCUGACUGACCGAUAGUGAACCAGUACCGUGAGGGAAAGGCGAAAAGAACCCCGGCGAGGGGAGUGAAAAAGAACCUGAAACCGUGUACGUACAAGCAGUGGGAGCACGCUUAGGCGUGUGACUGCGUACCUUUUGUAUAAUGGGUCAGCGACUUAUAUUCUGUAGCAAGGUUAACCGAAUAGGGGAGCCGAAGGGAAACCGAGUCUUAACUGGGCGUUAAGUUGCAGGGUAUAGACCCGAAACCCGGUGAUCUAGCCAUGGGCAGGUUGAAGGUUGGGUAACACUAACUGGAGGACCGAACCGACUAAUGUUGAAAAAUUAGCGGAUGACUUGUGGCUGGGGGUGAAAGGCCAAUCAAACCGGGAGAUAGCUGGUUCUCCCCGAAAGCUAUUUAGGUAGCGCCUCGUGAAUUCAUCUCCGGGGGUAGAGCACUGUUUCGGCAAGGGGGGCAUCCCGACUUACCAACCCGAUGCAAACUGCGAAUACCGGAGAAUGUUAUCACGGGAGACACACGGCGGGUGCUAACGUCCGUCGUGAAGAGGGAAACAACCCAGACCGCCAGCUAAGGUCCCAAAGUCAUGGUUAAGUGGGAAACGAUGUGGGAAGGCCCAGACAGCCAGGAUGUUGGCUUAGAAGCAGCCAUCAUUUAAAGAAAGCGUAAUAGCUCACUGGUCGAGUCGGCCUGCGCGGAAGAUGUAACGGGGCUAAACCAUGCACCGAAGCUGCGGCAGCGACGCUUAUGCGUUGUUGGGUAGGGGAGCGUUCUGUAAGCCUGCGAAGGUGUGCUGUGAGGCAUGCUGGAGGUAUCAGAAGUGCGAAUGCUGACAUAAGUAACGAUAAAGCGGGUGAAAAGCCCGCUCGCCGGAAGACCAAGGGUUCCUGUCCAACGUUAAUCGGGGCAGGGUGAGUCGACCCCUAAGGCGAGGCCGAAAGGCGUAGUCGAUGGGAAACAGGUUAAUAUUCCUGUACUUGGUGUUACUGCGAAGGGGGGACGGAGAAGGCUAUGUUGGCCGGGCGACGGUUGUCCCGGUUUAAGCGUGUAGGCUGGUUUUCCAGGCAAAUCCGGAAAAUCAAGGCUGAGGCGUGAUGACGAGGUACUACGGUGCUGAAGCAACAAAUGCCCUGCUUCCAGGAAAAGCCUCUAAGCAUCAGGUAACAUCAAAUCGUACCCCAAACCGACACAGGUGGUCAGGUAGAGAAUACCAAGGCGCUUGAGAGAACUCGGGUGAAGGAACUAGGCAAAAUGGUGCCGUAACUUCGGGAGAAGGCACGCUGAUAUGUAGGUGAAGUCCCUUGCGGAUGGAGCUGAAAUCAGUCGAAGAUACCAGCUGGCUGCAACUGUUUAUUAAAAACACAGCACUGUGCAAACACGAAAGUGGACGUAUACGGUGUGACGCCUGCCCGGUGCCGGAAGGUUAAUUGAUGGGGUUAGCGGUAACGCGAAGCUCUUGAUCGAAGCCCCGGUAAACGGCGGCCGUAACUAUAACGGUCCUAAGGUAGCGAAAUUCCUUGUCGGGUAAGUUCCGACCUGCACGAAUGGCGUAAUGAUGGCCAGGCUGUCUCCACCCGAGACUCAGUGAAAUUGAACUCGCUGUGAAGAUGCAGUGUACCCGCGGCAAGACGGAAAGACCCCGUGAACCUUUACUAUAGCUUGACACUGAACAUUGAGCCUUGAUGUGUAGGAUAGGUGGGAGGCUUUGAAGUGUGGACGCCAGUCUGCAUGGAGCCGACCUUGAAAUACCACCCUUUAAUGUUU
rnacentral:rRNA from 1 species